GCCUCCGUAGCUCAGUUGGUUAGAGCGCUGCACCGGAAUCGCAGGGCCGUAGGUUCAAUUCCUACCAGAGGAC
rnacentral:tRNA from 1 species